rnacentral:rRNA from 1 species
GUUAACCUACGGGAGGCAGCAGUGGGGAAUAUUGCACAAUGGGGGGAACCCUGAUGCAGCGACGCCGCGUGGGCGAGGAAGUAUUUCGGUAUGUAAAGCCCUAUCGGCAGGGAAGAAGAAAUGACGGUACCUGAAUAAGAAACACCGGCUAAAUACGUGCCAGCAGCCGCGGUAAUACGUAUGGUGCAAGCGUUAUCCGGAUUUACUGGGCGUAAAGGGAGCGCAGGCGGCGCGCCAAGUCUGAUGUGAAACCCCGGGGCUCAACCCCGGGCAUGCAUUGGAAACUGGCGGGCUGGGGGGCCGGG